rnacentral:rRNA from 1 species
GGCGGCGUGCUUAACACAUGCAAGUCGAACGAUGACUUUGGGGUGGAUUAGUGCGAACGGUGAGUAACACGUGGCAAUUGCCCUUCACUUGGGACAAGCCCUGGAAACGGGUCUAAUACCGGAUGAUACUUCCACUCGCAUGGGUGGGGGUUGAAAGCUCCGGCGGUGAAGGAUGAGCCCGCGGCCUAUCAGCUUGUUGGUGAGGUAGUGGCUCACCAAGGCGACGACGGGUAGCCGGCCUGAGAGGGCGACCGGCCACACUGGGACUGAGACACGGCCCAGACUCCUACGGGAGGCAGCAGUGGGGAAUAUUGCACAAUGGGCGAAAGCCUGAUGCAGCGACGCCGCGUGAGGGAUGACGGCCUUCGGGUUGUAAACCUCUUUCAGCAGGGAAGAAGCGAAAGUGACGGUGCCUGCAGAAGAAGCGCCGGCUAACUACGUGCCAGCAGCCGCGGUAAUACGUAGGGCGCAAGCGUUGUCCGGAAUUAUUGGGCGUAAAGAGCUCGUAGGCGGUCUGUCGCGUCGGAUGUGAAAGCCCGGGGCUUAACCCCGGGUCUGCAUUCGAUACGGGCAGACUAGAGUGUGGUAGGGGAGAUCGGAAUUCCUGGUGUAGCGGUGAAAUGCGCAGAUAUCAGGAGGAACACCGGUGGCGAAGGCGGAUCUCUGGGCCAUUACUGACGCUGAGGAGCGAAAGCGUGGGGAGCGAACAGGAUUAGAUACCCUGGUAGUCCACGCCGUAAACGGUGGGAACUAGGUGUUGGCGACAUUCCACGUCGUCGGUGCCGCAGCUAACGCAUUAAGUUCCCCGCCUGGGGAGUACGGCCGCAAGGCUAAAACUCAAAGGAAUUGACGGGGGCCCGCACAAGCAGCGGAGCAUGUGGCUUAAUUCGACGCAACGCGAAGAACCUUACCAAGGCUUGACAUCGCCCGGAAAGCCGUAGAGAUACGGCCCCUUGUGGCGGGACGGUGGGCAGUGUCGUCAGCUCGUGUCGGAGAUUUGGGUAGUCCCCACGAGCG